ACAACACGCGCACACAAUUUCCCUGUAUAAUAAUAGCUAUCGCAUACGUUGAAAAGACUAAUUGCAGCGGCCUGCAUUCAACGAGUUUGCGCCACGAGAGAAACACUAUGGGCCAUAUGGCGGAUAUACUGGCGCGAACUCCGACGUGGGCUGCUCUCCGGUGUACCGACCCUUUCACUGCCACAACGACCCUAUAGAACUGAAGCCGCGCAAGCAUCGCGACGCCACGAGGCCACGGAUUCACACGCAAAAUUUAUAUCGAAACGCGCGAGAUGUACAAACAAAAAAAACAUCUUGAAAUAUUAAAGUAACGACAAAAUGGA